CGCUGCUCCUGCCAGCUACUGGUCUAUUAGUCAGAUAUGGGUGGAAUGGUGAUGGUAAUCAUGAACACCCAUCAAAUUCAGUUAUGUCUGGCUGGAUACCAGUCUAUGACACAAUGCACGGCA
rnacentral:precursor_RNA from 15 species